rnacentral:rRNA from 1 species
UAAUACGGAGGGUGCAAGCGUUAUCCGGAAUUAUUGGGUUUAAAGGGUGUGUAGGCUGGCAAUUAAGUCAGAGGUGAAAUAUCGUAGCUUAACUAUGGUGCUGCCUUUGAAACUGAUUGUCUUGAGUUUUGUAGAGGUAGGUGGAAUUUAUAAUGUAGCGGUGAAAUGCAUAGAUAUUAUAAAGAACUCCAAUUGCGAAGGCAACUUACUGGACAAAAACUGACGCUGAUACACGAAAGUGUGGGGAGCGAACAGGAUUAGAUACCCUGGUAGUCCACACCGUAAACGAUGAUCACUCGCUGUUGGCGAUAUACAGUCAGUGGCUUAGCGAAAGCGUUAAGUGAUCCACCUGGGGAGUACGAUCGCAAGAUUG